AGGAGGGAACCACAAUUGAGAAAUGGCCUCCAAAAGUUCUGGCUAUAGGGCAUUCUCUUAAUUAGCGAUUGAUGGGGGAGGGCCCAACCCAUCAUGGGGAGUGUCAACC